AAAGGCAACAUACAGUAUAGGAGAAAAUAUUUACAAAUCAUAUAUCUGAUAAGGGGUUUAUGUGCAGAAUGUAUAAAGAAUACCAAAAUGGCGGUGUUCGGGUAUGAGGCGGGGGCUAAGCUGAGGGAUUCAGGUGUGGUGCGGGUGGGAAUUGAGGAAGCGCCCAAGGAUGUCAAGAUGACAGCAUCUAUGCAUGGUCAACCUAGUCCUUCUCUAGAAGAUGCAAAACUCAGAAGACCAGUGAUCAUAUAAAUCAUAGAAAAAAAUUUUGAGUACCUUAGAAAAGAAAUGACACCAAAUAUAUAUCAAACGGCAUCAUUUGGGACAACAACUGGUUUCUCUGGAAUAUUCUCAAACUUCCUGUUCAGACGCUGCUUCAAGAUAAUAUAAGCAAGGAAAACUGUGUUUUCAGAAGCUCACUGAUUGGCAUAGUUUGUGGUGGUUUCUACCCCAGUUCUUUGGCGUUUACUAAAAAUGGACAUCUGGCAACCAAGUAUCAUACCGUUCCACUGCCACCAAAAGGAAGGGUUUUACUCCAUUGGAUGAUGCUUUGUCAAACGCAAAUGAAAUUAAUGGCGAUUCCUCUAGUCUUUCAGAUCAUGUUUGGAAUAUUAAAUGGUCUACACCAUUAUGUAGUAUUUGAACGGACACUUGGGAAAACUAUACAUGAAGAGGAACCAAAAAAAUGAAUGGUUGCUAACUUAGCAGAAUGAAGUUUUUAUAAAGAGGACUCAGGCAUUGCUGAAAGAGUUAAAAGUAACUGUGAACAGAUAAUUUGUUUCUCUGCCUUUUGCCUGGUAUAUAGCAAAUACUCAAAAAAUAUUCAAUAAUUCAAUCAAUAAACAUAAGUUUCAUCUUACAUAUAAGAUAUAGGUUUUAUCUCCUGAUAGUGUGUCCAUUUUGCUUGGUACAUAACAGAUAAUAAAUAUUCAGUAUCAAUAAAUGUAAUAAUAAUUUAA